AUACGGAGGAUCCGAGCGUUAUCCGGAUUUAUUGGGUUUAAAGGGUGCGUAGGCUGACUGAUAAGUCAGCGGUGAAAAGCAUAGGCUUAACCUAUGUCUUGCCGUUGAUACUGUCAGACUAGAAUAUAAAUGGAGUAGGCGGAAUGAAUCAUGUAGAGGUGACAUUCAUAGAUAUGAUUUAGAACACCGUUCGCGAAGGCGGCUUACUAAGAUAUAAUUGACGCUGAUGCACGAAAGCGUGGGUAUCGAACAGGAUUAGAUACCCUGGUAGUCCACGCUGUAAACUAUGAUAACUCGUUGUCGGCGAUAGAAUGUCGGUGACCAAGCGAAAGCGAUAAGUUAUCCACCUGGGGAGUACGAUCGCAAGGUUGAA
rnacentral:rRNA from 1 species